rnacentral:siRNA from 1 species
GAGAGUGUCUUUACGAGAACGAGA